rnacentral:tRNA from 1 species
GGUCUUAUAUUCAAAAUGAUUUUAAAUUGCAAAUUUAAAGGUGAGUUAAGCUCUAAGGCUU